rnacentral:rRNA from 1 species
CCUACGGGGUGCACCAGUGGGGAAUAUUGCACAAUGGGCGCAAGCCUGAUGCAGCGACGCCGCGUGGGGGAUGAAUGCCUUCGGGUUGUAAACCUCUUUCGACAGGGACGAAGUGAAAAUGACGGUACCUGUAUAAGAAGCACCGGCUAACUACGUGCCAGCAGCCGCGGUAAUACGUAGGGUGCGAGCGUUGUCCGGAAUUACUGGGCGUAAAGAGCUCGUAGGUGGUUUGUCACGUCGUCUGUGAAAUUCCGGGGCUUAACUCCGGGCGUGCAGGCGAUACGGGCAAUACUUGAGUGCUGUAGGGGAGACUGGAAUUCCUGGUGUAGCGGUGAAAUGCGCAGAUAUCAGGAGGAACACCAAUGGCGAAGGCAGGUCUCUGGGCAGUUACUGACGCUGAGGAGCGAAAGCAUGGGUAGCGAACAGGAUUAGAUACCCCAGUAGUC